rnacentral:lncRNA from 10 species
UAUGUGAAUUGAAAAGCUGCAUGAUGUAGAGGAAGACAGCUCUCUACAGUCAAGGGCAAUUCCUAGAAACUGCUGAAAUUGAGGACUGUCAUUCAGAGGCACUGUCAGCACCAAAGGAACUAGAUCCUUCAUCCUGAAGCUAACACUUCUGCUGGUCUUGGUGGCUUACCUAGUGGUGUGAUCCAGACCCUCAUCUCUGAGGAAUCUGAAGUCCUGAUGACCAUGCCCUUCUCAGGUAUUUUGGAUUUCUUGCUUCCAGAAAUGAGGAUUAAAAGGGUAAGCUUUCCUGAUGAGGGGAAAUCGACUCCGAUAAUCAGGAGAAAGUAGG